CAGCAGCCGCGGUAAUACGAAGGGUGCAAGCGUUACUCGGAAUUACUGGGCGUAAAGCGUGCGUAGGUGGUUGUUUAAGUCUGCUGUGAAAGCCCUGGGCUCAACCUGGGAAUUGCAGUGGAUACUGGGCGACUAGAGUAAGGUAGAGGAUAGUGGAAUUUCCGGUGUAGCAGUGAAAUGUGUAGAGAUCGGAAGGAACAUCUGUGGCGAAGGCGACUAUCUGGGCCAUUACUGACACUGAGGCACGAAAGCGUGGGGAGCAAACAGGAUUAGAUACCCCCGUAGUCCCUGUCUCUUAUAC
rnacentral:rRNA from 1 species